UACGUAGGGGGCAAGCGUUAUCCGGAUUUACUGGGUGUAAAGGGAGCGUAGACGGAUCUGCAAGUCUGGAGUGAAAGCCCGGGGCUCAACCCCGGGACUGCUUUGGAAACUGUGGAUCUAGAGUGCCGGAGAGGUAAGCGGAAUUCCUAGUGUAGCGGUGAAAUGCGUAGAUAUUAGGAGGAACACCAGUGGCGAAGGCGGCUUACUGGACGAUAACUGACGCUGAGGCUCGAAAGCGUGGGGAGCAAACAGG
rnacentral:rRNA from 1 species